rnacentral:rRNA from 1 species
AACUGCCUGAUGGAGGGGGAUAACUACUGGAAACGGUAGCUAAUACCGCAUAAUGUCGCAAGACCAAAGUGGGGGACCUUCGGGCCUCAUGCCAUCAGAUGUGCCCAGAUGGGAUUAGCUAGUAGGUGGGGUAAUGGCUCACCUAGGCGACGAUCCCUAGCUGGUCUGAGAGGAUGACCAGCCACACUGGAACUGAGACACGGUCCAGACUCCUACGGGAGGCAGCAGUGGGGAAUAUUGCACAAUGGGCGCAAGCCUGAUGCAGCCAUGCCGCGUGUGUGAAGAAGGCCUUCGGGUUGUAAAGCACUUUCAGCGGGGAGGAAGGCGAUAAGGUUAAUAACCUUGUCGAUUGACGUUACCCGCAGAAGAAGCACCGGCUAACUCCGUGCCAGCAGCCGCGGUAAUACGGAGGGUGCAAGCGUUAAUCGGAAUUACUGGGCGUAAAGCGCACGCAGGCGGUCUGUCAAGUCGGAUGUGAAAUCCCCGGGCUCAACCUAGGAACUGCAUUCGAAACUGGCAGGCUAGAGUCUUGUAGAGGGGGGUAGAAUUCCAGGUGUAGCGGUGAAAUGCGUAGAGAUCUGGAGGAAUACCGGUGGCGAAGGCGGCCCCCUGGACAAAGACUGACGCUCAG